rnacentral:tRNA from 1 species
GGUGAAAUGGCUGAGGUGUAAGCGAUAGGCUGUAAACUUAUUGACGAAUUAAAUUCUUUUACC